rnacentral:rRNA from 1 species
UACGUAGGGUGCGAGCGUUGUCCGGAAUUACUGGGCGUAAAGAGCUCGUAGGUGGUUUGUCGCGUUGUUCGUGAAAUCUCACGGCUUAACUGUGAGCGUGCGGGCGAUACGGGCAGACUAGAGUACUGCAGGGGAGACUGGAAUCCUGGUGUAGCGGUGGAAUGCGCAGAUAUCAGGAGGAACACCGGUGGCGAAGGCGGGUCUCUGGGCCGAUACUGACGCUGAGGAGCGAAAGCGUGGGGAGCGAACAGG